UGGGGAAUUUUGGACAAUGGGCGAAAGCCUGAUCCAGCAAUGCCGCGUGCAGGAUGAAGGCCUUCGGGUUGUAAACUGCUUUUGUACGGAACGAAACGGCGAGCUCUAAUAAAGUUUGCUAAUGACGGUACCGUAAGAAUAAGCACCGGCUAACUACGUGCCAGCAGCCGCGGUAAUACGUAGGGUGCGAGCGUUAAUCGGAAUUACUGGGCGUAAAGCGUGCGCAGGCGGUUAUAUAAGACAGAUGUGAAAUCCCCGGGCUCAACCUGGGACCUGCAUUUGUGACUGUAUAGCUAGAGUACGGUAGAGGGGGAUGGAAUUCCGCGUGUAGCAGUGAAAUGCGUAGAUAUGCGGAGGAACACCGAUGGCGAAGGCAAUCCCCUGGACCUGUACUGACGCUCAUGCACGAAAGCGUGGGGAGCAAACAGGAUUAGAUACCCAGGUAGUCCCUGAGCGGGCUGGCAAGGCGCAU
rnacentral:rRNA from 1 species